CCUUUGUUACUCGGAUGUUUUUGAACUGCAACUCCCAGAAACCCCAGCCAGCACAGUUGGUGGUGAAGGCUUCUGGGAGUUGCAGUCCAAAACUCCUGAGUAACCCAAGGUUAAGAACCAGUGCUUUAAACCACUGAGCAGUUUCAAACCAUUUGAAAUAGAAUGAGCACAUGCUGUAUGGCCAGUAAAAACAUCAUGAAAUAUUAAAGCCAUAAAAUUAUGUUUAAUUAAAAAAAAACAGUGUCAAGCUACUUUUUUUUAAUUUAAACAUAAUAUUAAAUAGGGUACCAGGUUCCCAUGGAGAGGACUAUUAGCAUAUACUUGUCUAUUACAAAUCUUAAUCACAAUUGAAUGUUUUCUUGUUUCUUUUCCUUUUUUUCUCUAUAAAUUCUUCAGUAGGAUUUCUACUCUUCAAUCCUUACUAGGAGUUUGUGGAUUGAGCGAGGCCCACCCCGGUUCCCAUCAUCUCAUUUUAGGAAAAAUGGAGGUUAUGUUGGAGGACAACACAGGUUUUUCUAACAUUACAAUAAAGCAGGAAGAAGAAGAAGAAGACAGGCCAGGGGACCAGGGAUCUGAUGGAAGUGUAAGCAUGGCUAGCAGCCACUCAGGUGAGAGAGUCAUUCACAUAAACAGAAUCAUAAAAUGCUGCCUUGUGUGAGGAAUUGGUUCAUAAAAAAAGCAAAGCAAAGUGUGCUGCUUAUAUACCACCGCACUUGAAGCACU
rnacentral:lncRNA from 1 species